UGCGCGUUUAAUAAGCGGCCCAGAUUCACUCAAGCAUAUUCUCCAACAAUCAAGUGCAGUAUCUCGUGUUUCUCUCUCAGGGAGCAUUUUCUCUGUCCUCCAUUACAACAAGUGGUCUGAAUCCUCCAUUAAAGAGCCCUUCAAGCUUUAUCUAUUCCAUUGAUGCAUCUUUCGAGCUUUCUCUAAUAUAAUGAAGCAGCUUUUGAGGCUUAAGUUCCGCGAUUAAUUUUUAAAUUUGGGGAUUUGCUGAAUUUUGCGACGCUCUUCUCACCCAGUUUGCAAACUUGACCUCAAAUCAGGCAAUGCUGAGGGUAGACGGGUUUGGGGUCCCCUUCAAAUGGAAGAGAGAAGAGGAGGAGCUGAUAAGGAACUUGACGGCUGCUAAUUAUGCCGCUAACGAGCGAAUGACUAAGCUUGAGCAGGGUCUAAAGACAUCCCAGUAAGAUCUCAAGGCCUUGGAGGUGGAGGGUGCUGAUAAGGAGAAUGCCGACCUGAGAGCAGACGUCAACCGCCUGGGGGUCGAGCUUGUCCAACAAAGGAACCAACACAAGGUUAAGGUUUCCCAAGAGCAAAAGCGGUUGGUUGUUGAAAAUGAGCAUUACAUGGGGUCUUCUCUACCCUAACAUUGAGUUUGAUGUGCUCAAAAUGCGAUAUGAUUACGCCACUAAGGUGUAUGACGCAUAUCAGCUCAAUGAGUAGGCCCCACCUCCCUUUCAAGGCAUGGACCCUUGAACAAGGCUAUGAGGUCUCUGAUGAUGAGGAAGAGCCGACUGCCUACCAGGAUAAUCAAGUCCAAGUUAAUGAAGCUCAAACUGAUCAACUCCAGGAUGGUUAGGUCUCGGAUGCACAAAACAAAACAAGCCUCCUAGCAGUUCAGAUCUAGCUGGAGCCUGUCCAAUAGCCGUAAUUUAGCUCUUUUUCUUCUGCGCCAGUAUGCCAGCGUUAUCCUUUCCAGCUUGUGAUCCCAGUACUUCCUUGUAUCUUUUACCGACUAUAGUCGCUAAAAGUGCAGGUUCUUGGUUCACUAAACCCAUUUGUGAUCUUAACCAUUUCAGUUAGAACUUAUCAAUAGAUACCCCAUCUAAGAAUAUCUCCCCACCAAGUGGAUUAUAAAACCUGUGGAUCAAAGCUACUGUUGUGGAUUUUCCUGAACCACCACUCCCAACUAACGAUACUAUCUUCCCUGCAGGAACUAGUAGUGAGAAAUCCCAAAAUAUUAUUAAA